ACCUGGGAGCUUUUGAAAGACACAGAUGCCUGGGCCCAUCCCUGGAGAUUUUCCUUUAAUUGGUCUGGGUGGGGCCCAAGACUGGUAUUUUAAAAAAGCUCCUCAGGUGAUUCUAAUGUGCAGCCAGCCUGAGAAUCCUGUUGUAAAUGGAUUGGACAGAAUAUUCCUUUCUUGCUCAGAUGGGAGAAGAGCCUUGUCUGGAAGGGGCUGAGCGCUGGCUCCUCCUGAAGCUCCAGGCCCUGCCCCACGCCUGAAGGCCCCAGCAGGACUUUUACUGCAAGAGUCGAUACACUUAAACUGCGAAGGGCCAGGUAGUAAAUAUGUUAGGUCUCAAGGACCAUCUUCUGUGUGUCAGAGCUACUUUAACUCUGCUGCCGAAGUGGAAAAGCAGCCACAGACAAUGUGUAAACGAAUGAGCACAGCUGUGUUCCAAAGAAACUUCAUCUACAGAACUGAAAUGUGAAUUUCAUACAAUUUUCUUGUUUGAUUCUUUUUUCCAGCCAUUUAAAAAUGUGAAAAUCAUUCUUAGCUCAUGCACUAGAUACAAAAAGUGGUGGUAUGGAUUUGGCCUGCCAGCCCCCUGCUCCAAGAGAUGAGUGGCAGCCACUCUUCACAGCUUGAUGGAUGGCAAAUCCCUCCCCACCCCUCCCAUCCCUAGGCCUUCCUAUCUCUCCAUUGAUAAUGAUCAGCAGCCAGCUCUCAGGACAAGGAGUGUCAAUCGGAUGGGAAUGCUACUUCAGUUACUGCUGCACUUCAUCCGGAAUAAAAGCUUAAGCAUUGCUGCCAUGAAACCAGCAUCACCCCAAAUCAGGGACUGGUAACAAGAAAGUUUGCCAUGUCCCUGGGAAUGACAAUACUGGAAAAAAAGAAAAGAAACAAGCAGUAUGGAUGGAGAGUGAAUUCCUAAAGGUGAAAAAGCUCCUGAAUUGCAGAUAGAUUCUUUACCACUGAGCCACUAAGGAAGCCAUGAACAUCUUCUUCAGUCAGUAUGGUUGAUCCCAAGGAACUCAAAGAAGAAAAGUGAUGCCACCUUGGGUGCAGUGAUGGUCCCUGGGAAAUAAGUGACCACUGGGAACUGUGUAGGAGAAAAAGGCUUGUCUUGAACCAGAAAGGAAGCUAAGGAGGGAAUUCCAAUACUAUAAAGUAAUGAAGUGCUGAAUAUGUUCCAGCAGGUUUUCUCUAUGCUUCACGUAUGUUAACUCUCCACCGUGUACAAGCUGUGAGACCUCGAGCAAGUUACUUCAUCCCCUUGUGCCUCUGUAUCUACAUCUGUAUAAUGGGAGCAGUAAUAGUAGCUCCCUUAUAGGGUGGAUAUGAGGAUUAAAAAGUAAUGGCUACCAUUUAUUGACUUUUCUGACUUCUUACCACACGGCAAUUAUUAUUCCAAGUGCUUCAUAUGAAUAAACUCAUUUAAAUAUUUUGUUUGUAUGUGUAAAGAAAUAUUAAUUUUUUGAAAGUAGAAUUGUACAGUAUGUACUAUUUUGUCAUUUUAAAUUACAUUAAAUAAAACAACUUCGUUGAAUAAAGCA